CUAACACAGGUGUGAUAUCCCAUAACAACAAGGACAUUUUUGACAACAGUGUAGUUGCCUGUGCCAUUUUAAAUAAAGUUUCUUUAAAAGAAAAUUGAGCAGCAGUUUGAGAAGAGUCAGUUGGAGCCAUGGUGAGGAAAGAGCUGGCGACGCCAUUACGCAGAGAUGAGCAGCUGAGAGAGGGGAGACAAAUAAGCUGAAAAUUGCAUGAGAGAGUAAGCAGAAGUGCAAAAUACAGCAGUGGAAGUGCAGCAAUUAACAACCCUGACUGCCUUUCUUUGUGUCUGGGGAAACCUUGCCUCUCUGCCAGGAAUAGAGAAGAGCUGCUGCUGAAGGAGGAAUAGUCCAUCAAGCUUUAAUGCCCGUCAUGUGUCCCCGUCCCCAGCUCUGCAAAGCAGUGUCUGACUAUAGAACCGAGGCAGAGCUGUUGCAGCCUCAUCUCUUGUCUCCCUGCAGCUCCAGGGAUUCUCUACAAAGCUGGAAAAAGACCCACUUACACAAAGGAAAAUGCAUUGAAACAAAAUCUACCAUGCGGUAUGAAACACCCACCACAGCCUGCAAAUCUGAUAAUCUUUAUCAGCCUACACACACUGCCAAGAGUGACAUGUAUUAAAGUGCAAUAAAAAUGCAUUAUAUAAUUGGUGAUCUUUAACACCUGCUUCCUGCCUAGUCUCCUUUUACAGGCAGCAUGCUCAGAAACCUCUGUGAUGGCAUCAUGACAGCACAUUAGUCUUUUCUUAAAUUAUUUUUGUACGAAUCUGAGAUUGUAUCUAUUUCCAUCUUGAAUUAUUCAUGUGCUGGCAGUAAACAGCAAGCUACAUUUGGAAGUACAUCUGAUAAAAAGAUAUAGUGUUUUUUUCUUUUUUCUAAUUUACUGAAAAUGGUUUUACAAACCUAAUAUACUUUUGCAACAUUAAAGGAAACCCUGAAUUA